rnacentral:lncRNA from 1 species
GGGAGGAAGACACAUUCUGCCGCAAGGCAGAGUCUUUUCUUCUUAACCAUUCUACACAUUCCCACAACAAAAACACAAUUUCAUGCACCUUCAUUUCCCUUUCUUUGCUGUGACCUCUAUCCAACCUAAACACAUUCAGCCAUUCCCUUUUAUAUAUCCAUAUGCAUCCAUCAAACCACACCUUGUGCCGCAACAAAGAGAAGAAAGAGGACCCUUGGACGUGCUUGCCAUUCAAGUUGGAUUGUUGGAGCGUUUUUAGGUGUUUUCAUUCUUUUGUUUUCAAUGUCUAAAUUUGUUUGUCUUUGCUUUGUGAGUAUGAGGAACUAAACCCCCUUAGCUAGGGGGGAAUUCAAAGCCAUGAACAUACUUGCAAUAUGAAUUGAUUACCUUCAGUUGUGAUUUCAUAAGUUUUGAAUUCAAUUUAUUUAACUGCUUGAUUGAUAACUUAUUCGUGUAUGUUUAUUAAGAGUGCACACUUAGUUUGCAUGCAUGAAUAUGAUGCUAGAGUAUAAGGGAGUUUCACCUAAUAGUUACAAACUUAUAUUCACAAGUAAUGGAGGUCGCUUAUAAACGAUCGCGUUAAAUGAAUUCUUGGCAGGAGUUUCAUGCUCAUCAUAGUAACGAAUGCCUCGUCAAUACUUAUAGUUUUCAUAAUGCUUAAUGAUCUUUGAUUGUAUCUUUAUUAUGUUGUUCACGAAAAUGACUUUUGAAGAAUGCUUGAAUUGUUGUAUGCAUUUUCCCAUCCAAUUCAAUAACUUAAGGAGAACUUGAAGGUUAAUUUAAGCGGACUUAAUUAACCUGGGGUGUUGAGUUUCAUGAUUUAUCGAAAGAACAACUGGAAAUUGGUUUAUGUGCAAGUGUGUCAUGUGUGGAGAAAAACCCUCUAGCUAGCCCAUCAUCCAUAGUUUACCCAAAUUCGUCUAAAAUCUGUUUUAGUUUACAAUCUGUUUGUUUUGUUUUCAAAUUCGUCAAAAUCAAAUCCCACUUUACUUUAAAGUGUUUUAUUAGUCAAAAUCUGUUUUGAUUUGUGUUUUUAAGUGUCUUGAGUCAAGUUAGAACCUAAUUUCGUCUAAAACCAUCCCUAGAGUCAGUUUAGAGUCUAAUUCAUUGUUUUAAGCUGUUUUGAGUCUUUUAAACUAGUUUUGAGUCUUUUUAGUUUGUAUUGCAUCUUUUGAAUCUAGUUUGGUGUUUUAAACUUAAUUUUAUGUUUUUAAGUCAGUUUAGAGGUUAUUAGCAAGCACACCUAAUCCCCGGUCCAGAACGAUCCCUACUUACAUUCUUUACUACAAUUGAUACAAGAGGGUUUAAUUUGUGUGUUAAGUAAUUUUCGAAUCAAAUUUUUGGCACCGUUGCCGGGGAUUAGCAACUUUGCUAAUCCCUUGUUAUUUCUUUUUGUAUAUUUUCGUGUCUUUUGUUUUUAGUUACUGACUUUGUUUCUGUUUGUGUUUUUUUUUUUUUUUUUUUUUUUUUUACUUUUGAUAUUUGAUUUAGUUUUGUUUCCUUGAUUUCAAGUACUAAAGAAGUAAGACAUGGAUUUUGCUACCAUUCAAGCUCAAUUGGCAAAACUUACUUCUUAAUUGUCACAAUAUCCCGAAAGGACCACAAUGCAAAGUGUCCCUACAUAUGAUGUGUCCUAUGGGCAAGGAUAUCCAACUCAUCAAUGUUCUCAAUUCGCUGCGAAUGAAGAUGCUUGGGGUUAUCAAGGCCAUAGCCAAUCAUGGGACAACAUGUUUUCCAACACUUACAAUUUGGAUUGGAGAGAUUAUUCAGAUUACAUGUGGGGAGAACCUCAACAAUUCCAACAAGAUGGAUAUUGGCAGCAAGAAGAGGAGUUCUAUUCAAGACUUAUGCAGCCACCACAACCUCCUCCAUAACAAUUUCAAUCAAAUUCAAGUAUGCCUAUGAGUUAUGAUGAAAUUCUUGAUGUACUAACCUCGUUGACGCAUGACUCACAACAAGAAGAAUAUUUGCCGUCAUCGGAUGAGUACUAUCACUGGCCAUAUGAACCAUCACAGCCACCACAACAAUCUGCCUAAUUCAAUUCAGGUACGUCUUUGGAUAAUGAUAUGUUUAAUAAGUUACUCACCUCUUUGAACCAGGAAGUAGAAAAUUGAAACAAAGAGAUGCAAAAUCAAGCCAAGAAGACGAGUGAAUUGGAGAAGCAAAUUGGGCAGAUUAUGGAGUUCAUGGCACAAAUUCAAGAGCAAAGUGAACUCUCCAACUCAACUAUUGAAAAUUUGAAGGAAGAUUUUGAAAUCCAUGAUGCUAUCACUUUGGGAAGUGCUAUGGAGUUUGGAGGUGAACCCAAGACAUCCAAACCAAGCCAAAACAUGGAUGAACAGCUCCUACUUAAAGAAUAGGAGAAUAAUAAGGCCACGGCAAGGGAAGAACCACCCCUGCCGCAGCCCCAUAUGCCCUAUAUGCCAUCCACUACAACCAAGGUAAGCCUAAAUUCAAUUUGUCCUGACCCCGUUUCACCAAAUGUCCUUAUUCCUUACAGGAUCAUGCAAUCCAAGGAAGAAGAGGGUGAGAAAGGCAUCUUCGAAACCUUUUCAAAGAAUCAAGAGCAAGAAGUGGAUGGGGAAUGUCUAGAAUUCAUCAAAGAAGAUACACUUGAGACGAAAAUUCCCAAAGAAGUUGGAUUUUAUGACACGGAAAAAGUCAUAACUCUCAAAACAUCAAAUCUGGCCAAGUCCCAUAUCCUUGCAACCUUUAAAGAUGUGGUGUUCAUAAUUGAGUUUGUGUUGGAGCAAGCAACUAAGCCAUCUUCUCCAACUUCGAUUUUAUUAUAUACUAACUUGCUGAUUUUCAUGAUUCAGGCACCUACACUAGAAUUUAAACCAUUGCCAGAUCACGUCAAGUUUCACCUUCCAUUCAAGGAUCAAUUCCAUGCUAUGGGCCCUAUCCAAGUUUAGAAGAAUGUAUCGUUCGGCUGUAAGACGUUAAAGCAAGCGCUUCUUGGGAGGCAACCCAUGUAUUCAAAUAAGGAAGAUUUUUGAAUCGCUCCACAAUCAGUUUUGCGUUUCUAAAAACCUUUCCUUUUCUGCAGUUUUAUUUUACCAUGAUUUUCAUAUUUAUUUGUUACUUGUUUAAUUGUUUUUUGUGUGGGUUUAUUUUUGAAACAUUGACAGAUAUGCAAGGUAUUUUACAUUCAUUUUCAUGAAGAAAAAAAAGAACAUUAAGCAGAAAAUAUAAGAGGAAGCCUUCACAAAGGCUGCUUGGGAGAAGUCUCAGUAGUCGGCGGAGCCUCAGCAGUCGGCGGAGCCACAGAAGGAGGAGGCAUCAGAGGUUGAUCAUUUUGAGCUUUAUUAUGCGGUACAGCCCUAGAAGAUGAAGGCAAAUGUUGUUGGAACAAACCCACAAACCUCUAAUGAUCAAGUAAAAUGUGACCAUCAGAUUCCUGCAUCUGGUCAAUCUUCCUCUUCAUGUUUGUAGCAUACUUAUGUGCGAGCUUGUGCAACUGUUUAUUCUCAUGCUUGAGCCCUCUAAUCUCCUGUUUGAGACUCAUUACUUAAGUCGCCAACGAUUCAACUUGACGGGUUCGAGCAAAUAGGCGUUGGGCCAUAUUAGACACAGAACCUGCACACUGCACACUGACAGCCAGAGAAUCCUUAACAGCCAACUCAUCAGACCAUUUAGAAAGCAGUCUGUUAUCUUUGGAAGUGACAAGGUUCCGGGCCACCACCGCAGCGAUCAUAUCAUUCUUCAUUACCGAAUCCCCAACGGUAAGAGGACCAGUAGGGGAUAUGAAGGAUGGGCGCCAUAUGUUGUCUGGAGAAGGCAUGGAUGCCUCUUCACCAAGGUUCAAGUUAAAACAACGGUCGGAAUGGCCAGACAUUUUCAAAAGUGUUGAAGAAAGAAGAGGUCGGACAAGUCAAGAUCGUAGAAAUGCAAGAAGGGAGUUUCUACAAGCAGAAAUUCAAGUGUGCUUUGAAAUGUACUGCAUACCUAUAUAAAAAUUAGCACUCGAUGAGAUUUCAGAGAUCGAAGAGGCCAAUUCAAAAAUUGAAGAAGCGCUAGCUUUCUUAAAAGCUGGGCUUGCUCAGAAACCACGGGCCAAUCUUCUUUUCCAGAUUUGUCCGCACUUGUCACAUGCAACUUCUGCACUCGAUGAAGCUCAGAACUCGAAGAGACGAGCUCAGAACUCGAAGAGGUAAGCUCAGAAAUCGGAGAGGCAUCUGCUUUUCCAGACGUAUCAGCACCUGUCACAUACACACUCAGCUUUGCGGAAAUCACGGGCAGUUUGUCGAAGCGCCGAUUCCAGAUAUCGAAGAGGCAUCAGCUUUAUCCAGACGUGUCAUCAUCUGUCACAUACACACUCAACCUUACGGAAAUUACGGGCAAUCUGUCGAAGAUUUCUGGUGAAGUAGAAAGCACGUGAAGUUUACUGUUCAAUCAUCCAACGGUUGCCGACAAGAGUGAAAGAAUAGUACCGAUUAUUAUUUCUUAUAAAUGUCGACAUUCACCCUCCAUAGCAAGGCAGACACAUAACCUUCCGUCAUCUCCGAGAAUGCCUUCCCAACGAAACCUCUCGAGUUAUUCAGUGUUCCUUAUUCCUUGGGGUACCUCUGCAAACAACUCAUCCAAAGUAAAAGUAUUUCAUAUCAUGAAGGUUGAAAGCAAGAGUAUCUCAUAUCAUGCUUUCUCCCUGUCCUUCUCCUUGUCGUUGUUUUCAUCUGCGAGAUAAAGAGAAAUAGAGCAAUCAGCCAGCACUUGGUAUCAAUCUUUUGAUCUGGAACAGACUGCCUAGAACCCCUUCCUGAUUGCUUACCUAGCCCUGCUCUCAAGUACUCAUCUUCAACAUCUUAUGCUUCCUUUUCGUCUACCACAUCUGCCUGGGGAAAAGAUAAGGAAAGCGAAAAUGAUACCUCGAAGCAUGUGGAGACAAUGUGCUUAUUCAUCCUCAACUAGGGACAAGGAGAAAGAAAGCAAGAGGUGGGCACUUGGAAAGAUUGAAGAAAGAAACAUACCAUCACCUCUACCUCGUGCUUGCCUGCCGUGCAAAAGAAACAAGCAGAGAAGAAUGCAGACUGCACAAUCAAAUCAACCCAGCAGAAGGAGUCUGAUUUGAAACCAAGGAACUCUCGCUCAGAAUUUCGAACCAAUUCGAGAUCAAAGCUGUGGAAAGACAACAAGAUCAUCUAUCUCCAAAACCAGAUUUGCGUUUUUAAAUUCUACUUGUUUGGUUUUUACUUUGCCAUACUUGUCAUGUUUAUUCGUUGUUUGUUUGAUUGUUUGCUUGUUUUUGUGUGAGUUUAUGCUUGAAACAUUGAGGACAAUGUUUAAUUUAAGUGUGGGGGGGUAACCAAGUUGUUUUGCAUGAAAUUCGUAGUAGUUUAUCACCCAUUACUUCUAGUGUUGCUCCUUGCUGUUUUUAAGUGUUUUUAAGCUGUUUUGGUGUGUUUUAGUGUGUUUAGACAUAAAAAUCCGAAAAUCUCAUAAAAAUUUGAAAACUUGUUUUGAAAAACCCAAAAAGAGUUGUUUUUGUGUGUUUAUUUGCGUCUUAGGGUACCUUCCAACACAAUGAUGAGGAUUUGGUUUUUAAUUACAUGACUGUUAAAGAGAGUUAUAAACAUGGAUGGAAAUUUGAUUUCCUCUUUGGUGUAUGCUUGGUUGUGGUUAUAAUUUAUGAAUUCACAUGCAAUUAUAAAGGAAAAAUCAGUUUUGUAACAUGCUUAAAGGAAGGAACUCAAAUGAAUGCUACAACCUUAUGAGACUUGAGCCUAAACGUUUAUUUGGAGAGUUAAUAAUCUGUGCAUCAUUGUUUUCUAAAGUUGUUGCAUGAUCUCAUUAUUCUUUGCUUGGUUGCUACUUAGAGGGCGUUUCAUCAUUUAGUUCCAAAUGCUAGAACUCAUGCCUAUUUCAUUCAAAGCAUGCUAUUGAUUUGCAUAACACAUAUUCAAGAUGAAGUUGUGUAGUAACCACCAAAGCCAAAUUGCCAUGCCCUUAUUUCAUUAUGUGUUUAAGUUUAACCCCGUUGAGCUUUGUUAAGCGUAUGUUCUUUGUUAACCUACAUUAUCUUUACCUUGCCUAGUUUUAGGACCAUCCAUACCCUUGUUCUUGAAGCAUAGUAAAACAUGACCUAAAAUGAACUCUUUUUUUAUCAAUGUAUUACAGAAAGCAAGUGUGGGGGGAAGUGAUUCUUGUGUGUGCGUGUGCCAAAGUCCUUAAUAAGGUACGGGUAGAGAAAAGAAAAAAAAGAAAAAAAAAGUAUGGAAAGGAGCUCUAAAGUGUUGUUUGUUAAAAAAUGGUCCAAAGCAUUGAAUUCGACCCUAAGUGUUGCAUGAAUCUUCCCUUUGUGUUUAAAAGUUGAUUUUUGCAUUCUAAAGUGAAUUCCAAGUGUCGAUUUCAAUACUUUGCUUGCUAUCGCUUGAAGAACGUUUGUUAUCCCUAUCCUUUCUUUGUUAGCCAUUACCCCCAAACCCCAUUACAACCCUUAACUUCAUCCUGAGUGUUAUGUGUUUCAAUAUGUGGAGUUUGGAAUUGGUAUGAGCAUAUGGUGUCACUGAUUCUCGCAUCUAAGUAGUAGCGUUCCAUUCAUGAGAUCAUAUCUAAACAUGCUUAAUAACUCCAGAAAAUUGCUUCAUUUGUUAUAACAUAUGUGAGUCCCAGUCUCUAAUGUAGGGUGUGUAGUCAUAAAAUGUGUGUGAAAAUAGAGAGUAUCUUGUACGGAAUUGAGCAAAUUCUCUAAGGCAUGUUACUACAUUCAAAACAUUGUUUUAAUUGGUUAAUUGUGAACUAGUAAGUAGUGAUUGUGAUUAAGUUUGUGCUCAAGUGUGAAGAUAACCAAAAUCUGUGGGAAUGAUGAUUUUUAACAUGUCAUGUGCAUUGGAAAUCCCUGAGGCAAAUGUUGGAAGGUUAGGUUGUGUUUUGUUUGUUUUGUUUCGUUUUGUUUCUUUUGUUUUGCUCGAGGACUAGCAAAAGCUAAGUGUGGGAGAAUUUGAUAGGUACAUAUUUAUGCAACUUAGUUAGCUUGUUUCUUGGCAUUUACUUAGUUUAAUUCUAGUUAUUUUAGUACUUUAAGCUAUUUUCGUGUGUUUGUAGGUUCAAAUAACAAAGUUGGCAACAAAGUGCUAUUUGGAGCAUUUUGGAGCAUUUUUGGGCCAAGAUUGGAUAGUGCAAGAAUGGAGACAUGAGGAUGGACGUUUUUGAAGAUUAGAAGGCUAGAAAUCAGCAUGUGUGUAUGCAAGUGUGUUGACCUACAACUACAAACAUUCAUCCACUACACCCAUUACAUCCACUCAUUACCAAACACUCACCCACUACACCCAUUACAUCCACUCAUUACCAAACACUCACCCACUACACCCAUUACAUCCACUCAUUACCAAACAUUCAUCCACUACACCCAUUACAACCACUCAUUACCAAACAUCCAUCCACUACACCCAUUACAUCCACUCAUUACCAAACACUCACCCACUACACCCAUUACAUCCACUCAUUACAACCACCCAACAUAUUCACCUACCACUACAUCCACUCAUUCCACCCAACAUAUUCACCUACCACUACAUCCACUCAUUUCACCCAACGCAUCCACUCAUUACAACCACCUAACACAUUCACCUACCACUACAUCCACUCAUUUCACCCAACACAUCCAUUCACCUACCACUACAUCCACUCAUUUCACCCAACACAUCCACUCAUUUCAACCACCCAACACAUUCACCUACCACUACAUUCACUCAUUACCACCACCCACUACAUCCUCUCCCUAGCCUAUAAAUAUAUCCAUCCAAAGACACAUUAGGGGGGACAGUUUAGGGAGAAGGGAGGAAGACACAUUCUGCCGCAAGGCAGAGUCUUUUCUUCUUAACCAUUCUACACAUUCCCACAACAAAAACACAUGCACCUUCAUUUCCCUUUCCUUGCCGUGACCUCCAUUCAACCUAAACACAUUCAGCCAUUCCCUUCCAUAUAUCCAUAUGCAUCCAUCAAACCACACCUUGCCGCAACAAAGAGAAGAAGAAGGACCCUUGGACGUGCUUACCAUUCAAGUUGGAUUGUUGGAGCGUUUUUAGGUGUUUUCAUUCUUUUGUUUUCA